rnacentral:rRNA from 1 species
AUUGAACGCUGGCGGCAGGCCUAACACAUGCAAGUCGAACGAGUGGCGGACGGGUGAGUAAUGUCUGGGAAACUGCCUGAUGGAGGGGGAUAACUACUGGAAACGGUAGCUAAUACCGCAUACCAUCAGAUGUGCCCAGAUGGGAUUAUCUCGUUGGUGGGGUACAGGCUCACAAAGGAGACGAUCCCUAGCUGGUCUGAUAGGAUGACCAGCGACGUUGGAACUGAGACACGGUCCUGACUCUUACGUGAGGCAGCAGUGGGGACUAUUUCACAAGGGGCUCAAGCCUGAUGCAGCCAUGCCGGGUGUAUGAAGAAGGCCUUAGGGUUGUAAAGUACGUUCAGCGGGGAGGCGUUACCCGCAGAAGAAGCACCGGCUAACUCCGUGCCAGCAGCCGCGGUAAUUC